UCAGCUGGAGGCAAACAAAAGUCUUGAACCUGAGAAGUCCCAGGAGCGGCCCGGCCCCCAGACCAAUCAGGACUCAGCAGAGGGACACGUCAUUGUGGAUGAGGUCGACCCAGAGGGCAAAUAUGUCCGUCUUCGCAACACACGCACCGCGGACCAAGUACUGCAAGGCUGGGAAGUACACAUACGAGUCAAUAACAGAAAACCCAUCAUACACACAUUUUCCAAAUUCUCUCUUAAGGCUGGAGAUACUUUCACUGUGGAGUUGAGAGAGAAACACUGGGACUCUGGAGACCAACUGCUGGUCUCCCUCUACAGCCACACUGGAGAGGAAAUAUCCACGAAGAAAGUUGAUGGAAAGAUGAAUUCUGAUGUGCGGACGUGAAAACAUCGAGUCAUAUUCAUCUGAAACAUGGUGACUUUUAUCUCUGU